rnacentral:lncRNA from 1 species
GUCCUAAUCCUCAACCAUAGCUGAGGAGCUUGUGUUUGAAGAGCCACAUGGAGAAUACAUCUCGAUCCUCGCUCGUAGCCGAGGAGCGCAUGUUUGGAGAGCCACAUGGAGAACAUGUAUUGCUCCUCGACUAUGGCCAAGAAGCGCAUGAGCUUGAGAGCCACAUAGAGAUGCAUAUCGCUCCUUGACUGUAGUCGAGGAAUGCGUGAAUCAGAGAAUCGCAUGGAGAUGCAUACCACUCCUCAAUCAUGGCCG